UUUUUUUUUUCAGAAACACUCCAGAGGAGAGGGUAAGGCACUCUGAGAAACUGAAGUAGCAGCAGCGUGACACAAUAUGCCCUGACCUGUUAACUGGAGUUUUUACUCUUUAAAUGCAAACCUUUCACCACUAAGACUUUAGUCAGCGCUGCUGACCACACGAUGGUCCUUGAAUUAGCUUUGGAAAUUCACAUGAAUGUAUUCACGAGCAAAAACAGCAUCACAGUGCUGUUGGUUUGACUGUUGCCACUUGCCAAAAUAUUUUGUGUCAGCAGCUGAUUCUUAAUGAAGGACAAAAUAAGUAGCUGUAGUUAAAUGUAAGUUAAAAGAAGCUAAAUUGAAAACACUUAAAAACAAUUCUGUGCCUAAGUACUUUGCCUUUGUUAUCUGUCAUGUGUUUGUCAUGUGCCUCAGGGCUUUUGUAUAAAUGAAUAUUAUCUUAUCCCUGCCCAUGUGUUUUCUCUAUUCGCUGUCUGCGUUGCUAUUAGCCAGGCCAGCUUCCAGGAGAAUGGUUCUGGACCCUAUUUGUUUGCUUACAGGGCGAUGACGCGAGGGGAGCCGCGGUGGAGCAACGGACUCCAGUGCAGAGUGCGAGCUGGGCAGGGACGUGAUGAGCCCAGUGGAGGGAUGAGAUGGGGAUAGGAGACUUCUCCUUUUCUGCCUGGGACGAGGCUGGUGUGGACCCUGCUCUGAAGGAGGAAUUUCAGUCCUGCUUGUGAACACCUAACAAACAUUUAUCCUUUGUUGUGGGACAGUUACAUUGUGGGACAGGGUGGGAGUUUAGUGAGCAUAGAACAUUGUGUUUUAUAUGGGUUUUUUUUUUUUUUAUAUUGGGUUUGUUUAUUCCUGGGGAUUUUGACAACAUUUUAUUGCUUGUUUUUAGAAUUGUUUGUCAUUCUUGCUCCCUGGUUUGGAAAUAAUCUGUUUCUGAUCAGAACUACAUCAUCUUUGUACCCUGGGUUUCUGACUGGCGCACUCUCCCCUUGUAUCUAAAGAACCAGCCUCUAUAGUAAGACAUUCGCACCAGCAUGUCUACAUAUUCGCGAACAAAAACAGCAUCACAGUGCUGUUGGUUUGACUGGUGCCACUCGCCAAAAUAAUUUGUGUCAAAAGCUGAUUGUCAGUGAAGGAAAAAAUAAGUAGCUGUAGUUAAAUGUAAGUCAAAAGAAGCUAAAUUGAAAACACUUAAAAACAGUUGUGUGCCUAAUUACUCUGGCUGUGUUAUCUGUCAUGUUUAAGCAUGCAUAUAUUUAAUAUCAACUGCUUAUAGCUUUACAUCCAGUUUUACACAGACAGUCAGAUAAUUUAGUUGUGGUGAAAAUACAAUAUUUAAAGGUAUAUGAUUUAUUCAUUGCAUUUUUUCUUCAAGGGCUUUAAUUACCUGAUGCAUGCUUAAACAUCAAGGUAAGUAAAUCCCAAAUGUACUGUUUGGGAAAACCUGCAGUCACUUGAGACUGAAGAAGUCACUUGGAUGAGUGACAAAACGUUUGUCCCACUGAAAACACGAUGCCCAGAUGAACACAAUCAGCCUUUUGGGCUAUAGUUACCAAUUUGUACAUUGUUUUCUUCUUUUUCUAUGCUGAGUUUUCAGUUCUCUGUGUCAUAUCAAAGUGUUUUAGUAUUUGGUUUAAAUGCCUUAUGAAAAGGAAAAAAGAUACGGUCUCUGACAUCUUCAGUAUUCUGAUUAUUUUUUUAUAAACUAUAAACUACAUUCACUCCUAUAGGAGAAAGCCAAGUGCCCCAAAGAGAGAGUGGCUCUUUCUGCUGCCACACAUCGGUCUCUGGACAGGAAAAAGAAGGUUGGUGAAUCUCCAGCACAGACUAGGAAGAUGCAGCAGAAGCCAAAAUGUCCCACUACCAACAGAAACACUCCAGAGGAGAGGGUAAGGCACUCUGAGAAACUGAAACUCGAAACAAACCAAACACAACCCAGAGACCAAAAACAGAAAACACUGGAGCCCAGAAAACAACCAAACAAA